CCUUGCCAGCCCGCUCAAGAACUCAAAGGAAUUGACGGGGCCCGCACAAGCGGUGGAGUAUGUGGUUUAAUUCGAUGCAACGCGAAGAACCUUACCUGGUCUUGACAUCCCGGAGACCCUUAGGAAACUAGGGGGUGCUUCCAUCUGGAAGAAUCUGGAGACAGGUGCUGCAUGGCUGUCGUCAGCUCGUGUCGUGAGAUGUUGGGUUAAGUCCCGCAACGAGCGCAACCCUUGCCUUUAGUUGCCAGCAGUUCGGCUGGGCACUCUAAAGGGACUGCCGGUGUUAAACCGGAGGAAGGUGGGGAUGACGUCAAGUCCUCAUGGCCUUUAUGACCAGGGCUACACACGUACUACAAUGGCCGAUACAAAGGGCAGCGACACUGCGAGGUGAAGCCAAUCCCGUAAAAUCGGUCUCAGUCCGGAUUGGAGUCUGCAACUCGACUCCAUGAAGUUGGAAUCGCUAGUAAUCGUGGAUCAGCAUGCCACGGUGAAUACGUUCCCGGGCCUU
rnacentral:rRNA from 1 species